rnacentral:rRNA from 1 species
GGGUUGUGAGGUUAAGCGACUAAGCGUACACGGUGGAUGCCCUGGCAGUCAGAGGCGAUGAAGGACGUGCUAAUCUGCGAAAAGCGUCGGUAAGGUGAUAUGAACCGUUAUAACCGGCGAUGUCCGAAUGGGGAAACCCAGUGCAAUUCGUUGCACUAUCGUUAACUGAAUACAUAGGUUAACGAGGCGAACCGGGGGAACUGAAACAUCUAAGUACCCCGAGGAAAAGAAAUCAACCGAGAUUCCCCCAGUAGCGGCGAGCGAACGGGGAGCAGCCCAGAGUCUGAAUCAGCUUGUGUGUUAGUGGAACGGUCUGGAAAGUCCGACGGUACAGGGUGAUAGUCCCGUACACCAAAAUGCACAGGCUGUGAACUCGAAGAGUAGGGCGGGACACGUGGUAUCCUGUCUGAAUAUGGGGGGACCAUCCUCCAAGGCUAAAUACUCCUGACUGACCGAUAGUGAACCAGUACCGUGAGGGAAAGGCGAAAAGAACCCCGGCGAGGGGAGUGAAAAAGAACCUGAAACCGUGUACGUACAAGCAGUGGGAGCACCUUUAUGGUGUGACUGCGUACCUUUUGUAUAAUGGGUCAGCGACUUAUAUUCUGUAGCAAGGUUAACCGUAUAGGGGAGCCGCAGGGAAACCGAGUCUUAACUGGGCGUUAAGUUGCAGGGUAUAGACCCGAAACCCGGUGAUCUAGCCAUGGGCAGGUUGAAGGUUGGGUAACACUAACUGGAGGACCGAACCGACUAAUGUUGAAAAAUUAGCGGAUGACUUGUGGCUGGGGGUGAAAGGCCAAUCAAACCGGGAGAUAGCUGGUUCUCCCCGAAAGCUAUUUAGGUAGCGCCUCGUGAAUUCAUCUUCGGGGGUAGAGCACUGUUUCGGCUAGGGGGUCAUCCCGACUUACCAACCCGAUGCAAACUACGAAUACCGAAGAAUGUUAUCACGGGAGACACACGGCGGGUGCUAACGUCCGUCGUGAAGAGGGAAACAACCCAGACCGCCAGCUAAGGUCCCAAAGUCAUGGUUAAGUGGGAAACGAUGUGGGAAGGCACAGACAGCCAGGAUGUUGGCUUAGAAGCAGCCAUCAUUUAAAGAAAGCGUAAUAGCUCACUGGUCGAGUCGGCCUGCGCGGAAGAUGUAACGGGGCUAAACCAUGCACCGAAGCUGCGGCAGCGACACUAUGUGUUGUUGGGUAGGGGAGCGUUCUGUAAGCCUGCGAAGGUGACCUGUGAGGGUUGCUGGAGGUAUCAGAAGUGCGAAUGCUGACAUAAGUAACGAUAAAGCGGGUGAAAAGCCCGCUCGCCGGAAGACCAAGGGUUCCUGUCCAACGUUAAUCGGGGCAGGGUGAGUCGACCCCUAAGGCGAGGCCGAAAGGCGUAGUCGAUGGGAAACAGGUUAAUAUUCCUGUACUUGGUGUUACUGCGAAGGGGGGACGGAGAAGGCUAUGUUAGCCGGGCGACGGUUGUCCCGGUUUAAGCAUGUAGGCUGGUUAUCCAGGCAAAUCCGGAUAAUCAAGGCUGAGGUGUGAUGACGAGGCACUACGGUGCUGAAGUAACAAAUGCCCUGCUUCCAGGAAAAGCCUCUAAGCAUCAGGUAACACGAAAUCGUACCCCAAACCGACACAGGUGGUCAGGUAGAGAAUACCAAGGCGCUUGAGAGAACUCGGGUGAAGGAACUAGGCAAAAUGGUGCCGUAACUUCGGGAGAAGGCACGCUGGUGUGUAGGUGAAGUCCCUGCGGAUGGAGCUGAGACCAGUCGAAGAUACCAGCUGGCUGCAACUGUUUAUUAAAAACACAGCACUGUGCAAACACGAAAGUGGACGUAUACGGUGUGACGCCUGCCCGGUGCCGGAAGGUUAAUUGAUGGGGUUAUCCGUAAGGAGAAGCUCUUGAUCGAAGCCCCGGUAAACGGCGGCCGUAACUAUAACGGUCCUAAGGUAGCGAAAUUCCUUGUCGGGUAAGUUCCGACCUGCACGAAUGGCGUAAUGAUGGCCAGGCUGUCUCCACCCGAGACUCAGUGAAAUUGAACUCGCUGUGAAGAUGCAGUGUACCCGCGGCAAGACGGAAAGACCCCGUGAACCUUUACUAUAGCUUGACACUGAACAUUGAGCCUUGAUGUGUAGGAUAGGUGGGAGGCUUUGAAGCGUGGACGCCAGUCUGCGUGGAGCCAACCUUGAAAUACCACCCUUUAAUGUUUGAUGUUCUAACGUUGGCCCGUAAUCCGGGUUGCGGACAGUGUCUGGUGGGUAGUUUGACUGGGGCGGUCUCCUCCCAAAGCGUAACGGAGGAGCACGAAGGUUAGCUAAUCCUGGUCGGACAUCAGGAGGUUAGUGCAAUGGCAUAAGCUAGCUUGACUGCGAGCGUGACGGCGCGAGCAGGUGCGAAAGCAGGUCAUAGUGAUCCGGUGGUUCUGAAUGGAAGGGCCAUCGCUCAACGGAUAAAAGGUACUCCGGGGAUAACAGGCUGAUACCGCCCAAGAGUUCAUAUCGACGGCGGUGUUUGGCACCUCGAUGUCGGCUCAUCACAUCCUGGGGCUGAAGUAGGUCCCAAGGGUAUGGCUGUUCGCCAUUUAAAGUGGUACGCGAGCUGGGUUUAGAACGUCGUGAGACAGUUCGGUCCCUAUCUGCCGUGGGCGCUGGAGAAUUGAGGGGGGCUGCUCCUAGUACGAGAGGACCGGAGUGGACGCAUCACUGGUGUUCGGGUUGUCAUGCCAAUGGCACUGCCCGGUAGCUAAAUGCGGAAGAGAUAAGUGCUGAAAGCAUCUAAGCACGAAACUUGCCCCGAGAUGAGUUCUCCCUGAGACUUUAAGUCUCCUGAAGGAACGUUGAAGACGACGACGUUGAUAGGCCGGGUGUGUAAGCGCAGCGAUGCGUUGAGCUAACCGGUACUAAUGAACCGUGAGGCUUAACCUUACAACGCCGAAG